rnacentral:lncRNA from 1 species
UGAUCCAACAACGGUGUCGAUCACUUUUCUUCAUAUAUUUGUUUGUGUUUACAAUUUUACUAUUUUUCGAUAUAUGUGGAUUAAGAAGUAGGAUGAGAGAAUGUGUAGAACUUUUGGAGAAGAAGAACAAUACAUGUUGUGUUGUACUAUUCCGUUUGAUAAACAUAGAACAACCGGAGCUUCUAGCUCUAGUGGUAAAGGGCUUACAGCUGUGAGUACCACCACCUGGGUUCGAAUCCCGGCCACUGGGGAAUUAACAUUUCGGCAUCGCCAGGGACAGAGGACCGACACGUGGCAACACGUGACUAGUCUGGAUCACUUCUGUGGGGCCAGGAUACCUCUGUAUAAUUCAAAAAAAAAAAAAAAAAAAAAAAAAAAAGAUAAACAUAGAAUAGUACAACGCAACAUGUACUGUUACAUCAUCUCCGCGUCUUGUCUUUUGUCCCGGUGAGGCAUCACUGUCACUCUUUCUUAACCUAGAAACGCUUAACAUUGUGAUGUUUCUAUGUAUUGAGUUUUCUAUGCUUGAGUUAGGUUUAGUAUAGAGGAAGAUCGGCAGUGAGAUUGAUAUCAGUGUUAAUGGAUUUAGAUCUUAAGGUGAAUCAUGUGAUGAUUUAAUAAACGAUAAUUAAGAUAGAAUUCAUAUUUGGAGAAGAUGAACAAUGUUAAUAUAUUGUAGAGUUGGAGAAGAUGAACAAUUAAUAUAUUGAACUAUUCUAUUUAAUGAUCACAAUAUAGUAAAUAUCUUCUUUUCCUCCACCUCCUAUAGUGAGU